rnacentral:rRNA from 1 species
GUGUCAGCAGCCGCGGUAAGACGAACCGUGCGAACGUUGUUCGGAAUCACUGGGCUUAAAGGGCGCGUAGGCGGGCAUUCAAGUCGGUGGUGAAAUCCUCCAGCUUAACUGGAGAAGAGCUGUCGAUACUGGAUGUCUCGAGGGGUGCAGGGGUCUGCGGAACUUCGGGUGGAGCGGUGAAAUGCGUAGAGAUCCGAAGGAACGCCGGUGGCGAAAGCGGCGGACUGGGCACCUUCUGACGCUGAGGCGCGAAAGCCAGGGGAGCAAACGGGAUUAGAUACCCCCGUAGUCC